rnacentral:lncRNA from 10 species
CGGAGCAGGAGCAGGAGCAGGAGCAGUGCUUGGAGGCUGUAGCCGGAGAGGUGGGAUGUGGGAAAGAGACCAGCAGGGAGGGGGCCGCUCACCUGCAGGUGGGCACAGCGGGAAACAUGAGUGAGGGGCUCUUUCUUCCCUUUCGUUCCAGAGGGUCUGAGAACGAGGAGGAGCAGUGCCCGUGGAUGGCAGAGCAGACCUCGCCUGGGCCAGGUCUGGGCUCUGCUGCCACAACCCAGAUCCAGGAGCCAGCUGAGGCCAGCACAGUUCUCUCCCCUGUGAAUGUGACAAUUGGCCUGGGUCCUGAUUCCCCACAUCCUGCUGCCUAACGUGAUGCACCCAUCAUCUCCAACCAAGAGACAGGGAUCAGAGAUUCAACAUGUCAGCAAACUACAACUCACCCGCAUGCAAGCCAGCUGUCCAAUGGGAAUUCUUCUGAUGGAGCGAUGGGGUGGACUGAGGUUUUAUACUUGCUUCCUCCAGUGAUGCAGAGCACUAUUUCCAAACCCAAGUAGUCCUCUGGCUCCCAAAAUGAGGGAGAAGAGAGGAGGAGAAGGAGGAGCUAAGCUGCACCCAUUGUCAGUGAGCACAGGUGCAGGAGAGAGGGGGUGCCAGACACAUCUCCACCUCCAUCCCUGGAUCUGUGAUUGACAGGUACUCGUAUAAUUCAUACAGGCCAAAGGGGAAUAUCAGCCCCCUAAAGACACUCAUGUUCUAAUCCCUAGAACCUGUGAAUGUUAACCUUAUAUGGCAAGAAAAGGAUUUUAUAGAUGUGAUUAAGUUUAAGUUCUAAAAAUGGAGAGGUUAUCCUGGAUUAUCUGAGUGGGCCCCAUCUGCAAUCACGAGACCGAGGCAGAGGCAGAUCUGACCCCAGACAGAAGAGGAGAAUGCAGCAGCGCCCGCAGAGGCAGAGGCUGGAAUGGAGCAGCCCCAAGGCAAAGCAUGCUGGCCACCAUCAGAAGCCGGAGUACGUGAGGCACAGAUGCUUCCAGGGAGCCUCCAGGGGAGCACAGCCCUGCUGAUACCUUGAUUUGGGCAUUAAGACUUAUUUUGGACUUUCGGCCUCUAGAACUGUGACAGAAUACGUUUCUGUUUUUUACACACUUUGUGUGUAAGACUGUGUUACCGCAGUUGCAGGAAACUCACACCAGGGACUAGAGCAGCACUGUGGUGACCACUGGUGCUGGCAGAUCUGUCAAGUGGACCAGGCCCUGGUUCCAGAAGUGAGGUCCUCAUGCAGAGGAGAGGACUGCACACCUGGAAGGGAGGUGGUGAUUAGGUAAUGAACAGUUCUUCCAUUCCUGUACCAAUUGAACAAGGCAGUCCCCUCUCUCCUAUUCACCCUCAUCCAGCCUCCUCCCCACCAACCCCAUCUACCUCCCUAGAGGGCACUUGCAUUCACCUUGCCACUGCUCUGGUGUAUUUGUUUUUGCACUGCUAUAAAUAAAUACCUGAGCCUGGGUAAUUUAUAAAGACAAGAGGUUGAAUUGGCUCAUGGUCCUGCAGGCUGUACAGGAAGCAUGGCGGCAUCUGCUUCCGGGGAGUCCUCAGGGAGCUUUUACUCAUGGUGGAAGCCAAAGUGGGAGCAGGCAUCUUACAUGGUAGGUGC